rnacentral:rRNA from 1 species
UACGUAGGGGUCGAGCGUUGUCCGGAGUUACUGGGCGUAAAGAGCGCGCAGGCGGUCGUUCAAGUCGAGUGUGAAAGCCCCCGGCUCAACUGGGGAGGGUCACUCGAUACUGAUCGACUUGAAGGCAGGAGAGGGAAGCGGAAUUCCCGGUGUAGUGGUGAAAUGCGUAGAUAUCGGGAGGAACACCAGUGGCGAAGGCGGCUUCCUGGCCUGUUCUUGACGCUGAGGCGCGAAAGCUAGGGGAGCAAACGGG